AAAAAACCGGUUCUCGUCCGAUCACCGAAGUUAAGCAGCGUCGCUCGGUUAGUACUUGGAUGGGUGACCGCCUGGGAAUACCGGGUGUUGUAG
rnacentral:rRNA from 1 species